rnacentral:rRNA from 1 species
GACGAACGCUGGCGGCACGCCUAACACAUGCAAGUCGAACGGAGAAUCGAGAGUUCGCUUUUGAUUCUUAGUGGCGGACGGGUGAGUAACACGUGAGCAACCUACCUUUGAGCGAGGGAUAGCUUCUGGAAACGGAUGGUAAUACCUCAUAACAUAGAAAAGCCGCAUGGCAUUUCUAUCAAAGAUUUAUCGUUCAGAGAUGGGCUCGCGUCUGAUUAGAUAGUUGGUGAGGUAACGGCUCACCAAGUCGACGAUCAGUAGCCGGACUGAGAGGUUGAACGGCCACAUUGGGACUGAGACACGGCCCAG